CUGCUCAUUCUUCUUCCCCUAAUGAUGAUCAGGAUGACCUUGGGGAUUCCGAGCGUAACUUCUAGUUUGGUUCCACUGAUAGAAAUCCUCAUCCCAGUUCUUCAUCUCAUCUUGUUAACCUAUUAGAUGACUCCCCUUCCGCUAGGCGCACUCCACAGUCUCAACCUCAACACCAUCAGGAUAGUUUACCUAACAUCCUUUUACUGAUACUAGCUGAGCCUUUUGCACCACCGCCUAUUAAGCUAAUCUCCAUUUUUAUUUCUGUGAUCAAUAUCUCCCUACACACC
rnacentral:lncRNA from 1 species